GUGUAAUUUCUUCUCAUUUCCACUUCACAAUAAGAUCCAAACGAAGGGGUUACUAUAUAGGUAAACGAGCUACUUUAGAGUAUUUUUAUCGUUAAAAAAUUUUUCUCUUUGGAGCAAGGAAAACAAGCUUGACUAAUGGGAUUUUUUAAUUUAUUUGAAUAGAAGGAUCUCAAAUUUUGAUAGAAGCAAAAGGAAUAAAAUAGUUUAAUUACUAAUGGUAAAAUUUGAGAUUAAAUUUGAUGUUACCGAAAGUCCACGGAUCCUGAUCUUGAUGCCACCUAGUCCUGCAAUAAGAGAAAAAGUGAGGUGGAUGGCCUACUGACAAGCCACUCCGACGCUCAAAUUAGAUAUCUUAAUUAAGAGAAUAUUCAGUUAAAAAAAAUUGCAAAGUGAGUAUGCAUACAUGUUUCUAACAAUUUGGUUAUAUUUAUAGUCAUUUUAGAGAAAUAGCCAUUAGUUCAUUUAUAAUAGUGAUCUUGGCUAAAUUUCCAAGAUUGUCUCUAUGAAACUCGCUCUUUACUUUAUUUUAGGUGUGAUUAUUGCUCGAUCCAUGAAAUCUAGGCUCUGCUUGAUAAUUAUCAUGGUUACUGCUCAGUAUGGCUUUUAUUCGCCUUUUUGGGCAAGCAAAGGUUUGUUUGAUCUUGUUUUGCUCGGCUCGUUAGACCUUUCGAUCUAUAUAUUAUUUGACUUUUUGACUAUCACAUUAGAAGCAUUUCUGACUUUGACUUUCACGCUGGACAUAAAUUUGACUAUUUGACUUUGGUUUUUAGGCUGGUACUAUCAUUAGUCCCCCCUUCAAGUUUUUGUGAACAUUUAUGUUCGUUGUUGUUUAUUCAUUCAGUUGCGAAGGGACAUGACUGUUUGCAUAUUGUUCUUUUUUGGCUAUCGUGUUGUAUCUUUUUUGGGGAUAGUUGUCGAGUGCCCCUCAAGCAGUCUUUCUGAUGUCAGCUGUCAUCAUUUAAAUUUUCCUUAAUAAGCGAGAAAGCGGCCGGCGACACUUCAUACUUCGAAAUCAUUUAUUGCCCUUUUUUCGAUCUUUAAAAGUCGAUUUCUUGCUUUCUUUCCUCUUUUAUCUUUCUUGUGUUUAUCAUUUUAUCUUUCUUUGCUUUUUCUUCUGCGAUUUCCAACGGUGUUUUCUUCUAGUCUUUGGUGUUUUAUCUACUCCUGUAAAGGUAUUAUUUUGUGCUUUCCCUUGCUUCAAUCCUUUUUCUUCCAGUUUUACAUUGAGAAAAUGAGCGAUUCAAGUGAUACCAGUGACUCGAGUGCCACUCCCUGAUCACUUGUUGUCCUCUAUAGCUAAGACUCUAGUACCUAUAAACUGUUCUCCGAUCAUAAUCCGACAGGAGUUGUGGAGUCUCCAAAGGUUGUGGGACCGAUUGCUGCUAGUCCGAUCCCAAAUGUAGAGGCAAGAUCUUCUAAUGCGAGUUUGCCGAGGGGGGUUUCUGAGAUGGUGUCUUCUCUGUCCGAGUGGCACCUUUUGGAUUUCUAUAAAUCCUAUGGGAUAGAUACUAAGCGACACUGAUUCUCACUUGUUAGAAUUGACUUAUGUGAUCAGGGACCCUGUGGUGGCCGAGCAUUAUAACAACUUGCCACUUGAGGGUAAACACUAUUGCAUUCUCUCUUAAUUAUUUUUGCUUACUGAAAUUUUUUUCUUUAUAUAGAGAUGGGCAAUCGAGUGAAGAACAUCAAGUAGCUGAUGCGAAAAAAGAAGAAAGCUGCUUGCCUUACUGAAGAUGCUUCCCCUAUGGAUCGAAAGAGAGUAAGGGUUGAUCCUUCUCCUCCUCCCCCAAAUGACGCAGCUCUAGAGACCUAGACUUCUCAACAAGAGCCUGAUUAGGUUGACGAUGCUCCUCCACUCCCUUCGCCUCGUAAACAGUCAGUUGAGGAAGCAUUAGCCAGCAAUUAGUUAUGGACAAUUUGAAACUCGCCAACUGAUUUUCCAAAAAGUACACAUGAUCGCUCGACUGAGCUCGGCUAGAGGGAGAGCACGAUGACAACCUGGCCCUUCACUUGACUUCUUUAAUGAUGGAGCAACUGGCAUGCACAUAGAUUUUGAGGGAAAAGAAUUGGGCAUUUCGUGGUCAGGUGGGUUCUUAAGAGACCGAGCUGAACAUGCUUAUCGAUGCUGUGGCUGCUUCUGAGAAGCAAGUUAGAGACUUGAAGGGCAAACUUCAAUUGUUGAAAGAACAAUUUACUACUCUUCAAGAUGAAUUGGUUGCUAUUCAGGAGAGUCAUUUGUCCAUGCAAACUGAUUUGAUAAAGAAAAUCGAGGUGCUGGAGGGGGAGUUGGUUGCAACCAAGGACCAAAUUACUAAAAUUUAUGUUAAGUCUCAAAAUGACACAAUCGUUAAGUUGCAGAAGCAUUACUCAGGAGAUGAUUUCUUCUGGGUAGAAAGCCUUGGGGGUGGGGAAGGAAAGAAAGAGUAAAAGGAUGGGCAGAGGGGUGGGGGCGAUGAUAUAGGCCCCUAUGGUUGAACAAAACCUUAUACAAAAUACUUUCAUUAUGAAUGAAAUGUAGUUCUUUUUGUCCAUACUUUCAUAUUUAUUUUAUGAUUUGAACAUUUAGACCAACAGGCCGGGCAAGUUUUAACGAUAAUAAUUUAGAAAAGGGAUAAUUGAUAAGAGAUUUUGCAAGUAAAAAUGUUUGAUCUACGAAUAACUUAAAAAUGAUGAACAAACUAAUAAUUGAAUUUCCUUGGAAAAAGAUAAAUUUUGUUUACAUUUCUUAGUUUCUUUUGAGUUCUUUUGACAUUCACUUGUCAUCGUGAUUCUGGAAAACAUCAUUGUCUAGCGAUCAAGCGAAUCAUUCUUAAUUUUUGGACUUUAUAGGUAAAUACCCAUUAAUUUAUUUAGCCUGAAAAACUAUCAUUGUAGAUGGGCUAAACACUCUUUAAAUUUAUUUAGCCUAGCGAACUAUCGUCGUGGAUGAGCCAAGUACCCUUUAGAUUUAUUUAGCAUGGCAAACUAUCACCGUGGAUAGGCUAAGCACUCAUAGAAUUAAAAAAUUGAAAAAGGAAUUUUAAAAUUGAAAAAGGAAUUCUUUUAUUGACAGUACUUAUGAAGAUUAUAGAUAUUCCAAGUUCGGGGUAGUAUUUUUUCACUUGUCUCAGCUAGCUUGUAAGUUCCUAGUCGUAUAACUUUCGAAAUUACAUAAGGUCCUAUCCAAUUGCAUCAUAACUUUCCUACUUUAGCUAGUCCUCUUGUGACAUCAUCUCAUUUGAGAACCAAGUUUCUGACUAUGAAUGCUCCAUUUUUGACCUUCCUGUUGUGCAUGUUGAUCAUUUUUGGCCUGUACUGAGCCAUCUGAAUGAAAGCUAUUUCUCUCAGUUCUUCUAUUGUAUCGAGAUUAUGUCUUAGUUCUUCUUCUUAGGAUGCUUCUUCGGGGUGUUUUGUUCGGGUUGAUGGAACAUUGACUCCUACUGGUAUUACAUCUUCUAAGCCAUAUGCAAAUGACAAUGGUGUUUUUCCUAUUACCGAUCUUGGUGUAGCUCGGUAGGCCUAUAAGAUGUUCAGUAAAUGGUUGGGCCAUGCUCUUUUUGCUUCACCUAAUCGCCUUUUGAGUCCAUUGAGAAUUGUUCGAUUUAUGACUUUGGUCAUUUUAUUCAUCUGAGGGUGGUAAGUUGAGGUAAAAUGAACGUUGAUCCCCCACUCGGUGCAUAGCUUUUUAAAUUUCUCACUACCAAACUGUGUGUCAUUGACUGUUAUGAUGACUUUGGGAACUCCAAACCUACAAAAUAUUUUUUCUCUAACAAAAGUGACCACUCGGUCAGCUGUUACAUGCUAUGAUACUUUUGCUUCCGCCCAUUUGGUGAAGUGAUCGAUGGCAACGAUCAUGUAUUUGCAGGAUCCGGAUGCUUUAGGAAAUGGUCCAAGUAUGUAUAUGCCCUAUUGAUAAAAGGGCUAAGGGUUACCGAUGGCUGAAAGUUUCUCUACUGGUUAUUGAGGGAUAUUACUGGGUACUUGGCAUUUUUGACAUUUCUAAACUAAAUCCUUUGCGUCCUCAAUUGUAGUGGGCCAGAAGAAUCAUUGCCUAAAUGCUUUCUUAGCAAUCGUUCUUAC
rnacentral:misc_RNA from 1 species